UACGUAGGUGGCAAGCGUUGUCCGGAUUUACUGGGCGUAAAGAGCGCGCAGGCGGUCGAUCAAGUCGGGUGUGAAAGCCCCCGGCUCAACUGGGGAGGGUCACGCGAUACUGAUCGACUCGAAGGCAGGAGAGGGUAGUGGAAUUCCCGGUGUAGUGGUGAAAUGCGUAGAUAUCGGGAGGAACACCAGUGGCGAAGGCGGCUACCUGGCCUGUUUCUUGACGCUGAGACGCGAAAGCGUGGGGAGCAAACAGG
rnacentral:rRNA from 1 species